AUGGAGCUCAUCAAUGGCUGUCCCGACGAGACAAUUGUGACAGGCGCUACGGUGACUGUUGCAUUGGGAAGAUGUCUGGAGAAAGGCCAUGGUCAGAGUGGGGAUCUGAGUUGGGCUGGUGAAGGUUUGGGGAGAUGGGGCAGGCGAGGCCGGAGUCGGGGUGUGAGGGUGGAGAAAGAAGAAAAGAAGAGAAAAAUCUGGUCCAGGAUGUGUAUUAUUAGAUGUAAUGAACAUGCCAAUGGUUAUAAUUAUAUAAGGAAAUAUGGUCUUUUGUGGAUCAUUUAUUGUGGAGUUAAAAUAUUUUAA